AGUGAACGCUGGCGGUAGGCCUAACACAUGCAAGUCGAACGGCAGCACAGUAAGAGCUUGCUCUUACGGGUGGCGAGUGGCGGACGGGUGAGGAAUACAUCGGAAUCUACUUUUCGUGGGGGAUAACGUAGGGAAACGUACGCUAAUACCGCAUACGACUGACGGGUGAAAGCAGGUGAUAUUCGUAGCUUGUGCGGUUGAAUGAGCCGAUGUCGUAUUAGCUAGGUGGGGGGGUAAAUGCCCACCAAGGCGACGAGUAGUAGCUGGUCGGGGAGGAUGAGCGGCCACCUUGGAAGUUGGACACGGUCCAGACUCCUACGGUAGGCCGCAGUGGGGAAUGUUAGGCAAUGGGCGAAAGCCUGAUCCAGCCAUACCGCGUGGGUGAAGACGGCCUUCGGGUUGUAAAGCCCUUUUGUUGGGAAAGAAAAGCAGCAGGUUGAUACCCCGCUGUUCUGACGGUAACCAAAGAAUAAGCACCGGCUAACUUCGUG
rnacentral:rRNA from 1 species